rnacentral:rRNA from 1 species
UACGAAGGGUGCAAGCGUUACUCGGAAUUACUGGGCGUAAAGCGUGCGUAGGUGGUUCGUUAAGUCUGAUGUGAAAGCCCUGGGCUCAACCUGGGAAUGGCAUUGGAAACUGGCGAGCUAGAGAGCGGUAGAGGGUGUGGAAUUCCCGGUGUAGCAGUGAAAUGCGUAGAGAUCGGGAGGAACACCAAUGGCGAAGGCAGCUCUCUGGGACGUGACUGACGCUGAGACGCGAAAGCGUGGGGAGCAAACAGG